rnacentral:rRNA from 1 species
AGUGAACGCUGGCGGUAGGCCUAACACAUGCAAGUCGAACGGCAGCACAGUAAGAGCUUGCUCUUACGGGUGGCGAGUGGCGGACGGGUGAGGAAUACAUCGGAAUCUACUUUUUCGUGGGGGAUAACGUAGGGAAACUUACGCCAAUACCGCAUACGACCUACGGGUGAAAGCAGGGGAUCUUCGGACCUUGCGCGAUUGAAUGAGCCGAUGUCGGAUUAGCUAGUUGGCGGGGUAAAGGCCCACCAAGGCGACGAUCCGUAGCUGGUCUGAGAGGAUGAUCAGCCACACUGGAACUGAGACACGGUCCAGACUCCUACGGGAGGCAGCAGUGGGGAAUAUUGGACAAUGGGCGCAAGCCUGAUCCAGCCAUACCGCGUGGGUGAAGAAGGCCUUCGGGUUGUAAAGCCCUUUUGUUGGGAGAGAAAAGCAGCAGGUUAAUACCCCGCUGUUCUGACGGUACCCAAAGAAUAAGCACCGGCUAACUUCGUG